GUAAAAGGAGGUUGUAGGGUCUCGCUGGGAGGUUUGGAGGCGUCUCCUUACUUCAUCCUGUGAACCAAAAGCGACUUCCAGUAUUACCGAUCGAGUAACCCUUUCUUUGUACGGUAGCUUUCUGUGGUGACUUUUGUUUUCUCGAGUGUCAGCUUAGGUUCUAUCGUGUUAGAAUGGUGU
rnacentral:rRNA from 1 species